UAUAGGGUUCGGUCCAGCAGUCUGCCCUAGUGCUCUGUGAGGUGAAGAGCUGCGUGUCCUGCUACUCUAAUCCUGCCGGUACGUUUGCUAUUGUCUCAUUGGUGUGGUGACUGUGACCUGCCCUGACCUGCCUGUGACCUGCCCUGACCUGCCCUGACCUGCCUGUGACCUGCCUUGACUUGCUCUGACACACAUGGUGACCCAAGACCUGCCAAGACCUUCCCAGGACCUUCCCAGGACCUUCCAAGACCCACAAUGACCCACAGAUGAAGAUUUAAGAAGUGCGAUGAUGCGACACAGACAGACAGACAGACAGACAGGUGUGGGAUGAGUGCUGGCAUACUGAAGGUCAAGAGGUCAAGAGUCACGUGUUGAGUCGUAUGGGUCACCAGACAGGUCACCCACCUAACCCCACUCGGCCUGUCAGUUCAGCGGCAACACUGUCAUGGAAGAAUUUGCCGCAAGCUGUGCCUCUCUGUGCUUGUUAUCCGAACCUUGUGUCUAAUAUUG